rnacentral:pre_miRNA from 1 species
GGAAGUUAAGAAACUGUUUCUUAACUUUUAACUAAAAAAACUAAGAACCGGUUCUUAAAGUCUUUAUUUAAGAACCGGUUCUUAACUUUUUUAGUUAAAAAUUAAGAAACAGUUUCUUAACUUCC